AGCGAACGCUGGCGGCAGGCCUAACACAUGCAAGCGACGGAGUGGCGGACGGGUGAGUAACACGUGGGAACGUGCCUUUAGGUUCGGAAUCGCUCCUGGGAACGGGUGGUAAUGCCGAAUGCCUUUAGAGUGGCCCGCGUCUGAUUAGCUAGUUGGGGAGGUAACGGCUCACCACGGCGACGAGCAGUAGCUGGUCUGAGAGGAUGACCAGACACACUGGGACUGAGACCCGGCCGAGACUCCUACGGGAGGAAGCAGGGGGGAAUCGUGCGAAAUGGGGGAAAGCCUGACGCAGCCAGGCCGGGUGAAUGAUGAAGGUCUUAGGAUUGUAAAAUUGUUUCACCGGGGACGCGGUACCCGGAGAAGAAGCCCCGGCUAACUUCGUGCCAGCAGCCGCGGUAAUUC
rnacentral:rRNA from 1 species